rnacentral:rRNA from 1 species
GAUGAACGCUUGCUACAGGCUUAACACAUGCAAGUCGAGGGGAAACGACAUCGAAAGCUUGCUUUUGAUGGGCGUCGACCGGCGCACGGGUGAGUAACGCGUAUCCAACCUGCCCAUCACUUGGGAAUAACCUUGCGAAAGUAAGACUAAUACCCAAUGAUAUCCCACGAAGGCAUCGGAAUGGGAUUAAAGAUUUAUCGGUGAUGGAUGGGGAUGCGUCUGAUUAGCUUGUUGGCGGGGUGACGGCCCACCAAGGCAACGAUCAGUAGGGGUUCUGAGAGGAAGGUCCCCCACAUUGGAACUGAGACACGGUCCAAACUCCUACGGGAGGCAGCAGUGAGGAAUAUUGGUCAAUGGGCGAGAGCCUGAACCAGCCAAGUAGCGUGCAGGAAGACGGCCCUAUGGGUUGUAAACUGCUUUUAUAAGGGAAUAAAGUGGGUCACGUGUGACUUUUUGCAUGUACCUUAUGAAUAAGGACCGGCUAAUUCCGUG